UCCACAAUAGCUCAAUGGCAGAGCAAUCGGCUGUUAACCGAUGGGUUCUAGGUUCGAGUCCUAGUUGUGGAG
rnacentral:tRNA from 1 species